GUCCACAUACUAAUAGCUACAGAUCUGGCCUCAUGAGGACUUGAUGUUCAGGACAUUACACAUGUUUUAAGUUUUAAUUUCCCUCGAAACAUAGAGGAGUAUGUUCACAGAGUUGGACGCACAGGAAGUGCAGGUCGCACAGGGGAAUCAAUAACUCUGGUAACCAGGAAUGAUUGGAAGGUUGGAGGUGAAUUAAUCGGUAUCUUGGAGCGUGCUAAUCAAGAAGUUCCAGGGGAGCUGUUUGAUAUGGCUGAAAGAUACCGGCAAUUAAAGAUAAAGAAGGAUAGCGAAAGAGACCUAAUACCC